AGGCAGGAGAAUUGCUUGAACCCAGGAAGUGGAGGCUGCAGUGAGCGGAGAUCGCACCACUGCACUACAGCCUGGGUGACAGAGCGAGACUCCAUCUC
rnacentral:miRNA from 1 species